GGGGGAAUAUUGGACAAUGGGCGCAAGCCUGAUCCAGCCAUGCCGCGUGAGUGAUGAAGGCCCUAGGGUUGUAAAGCUCUUUCACCGGUGAAGAUAAUGACGGUAACCGGAGAAGAAGUCCCGGCUAACUUCGUGCCAGCAGCCGCGGUAAUACGAAGGGGGCUAGCGUUGUUCGGAUUUACUGGGCGUAAAGCGCACGUAGGCGGACUUUUAAGUCAGGGGUGAAAUCCCGGGGCUCAACCCCGGAACUGCCUUUGAUACUGGAAGUCUUAAGUAUGGUGGAGGUGAGUGGAAUUCCGGGUGUAGAGGUGAAAUUCGUAGAUAUUCGGAGGAACACCAGUGGCGAAGGCGGCUCACUGGACCAUUACUGACGCUGGGGUGCGAAAGCGUGGGGAGCAAACAGG
rnacentral:rRNA from 1 species